rnacentral:rRNA from 1 species
UACGUAGGCGGAAAAUUAAGUCAGUAGUGAAAUCCUGCAGCUUAACUGUAGAACUGUUAUUGAUACUGGUUUUCUUGAAUAUAGUUGAGGUAGGCGGAAUGUGUAAUGUAGCGGUGAAAUGCUUAGAUAUUACACAGAACACCGAUUGCGAAGGCAGCUUACUAAGCUAUGAUUGACGCUGAGGUACGAAAGCGUGGGGAGCGAACAGGAUUAAAUACCCUGGUAGUCC